rnacentral:tRNA from 1 species
GAGGGUACAGCUCAGUGCUAGAGCGCGUGUUUAGCACGCAGAAGGCCCUGGGUUCAAUCCCCAGUACCUCA